UAUGAUAUAAAUAAAAAAUAAGGUCCGGC
rnacentral:piRNA from 1 species